rnacentral:rRNA from 1 species
GAGUUUGAUCCUGGCUCAGAACGAACGCUGGCGGCAGGCCUAACACAUGCAAGUCGAGCGAGAUCUUCGGAUCUAGCGGCGGACGGGUGAGUAACGCGUGGGAAUAUGCCCUUCUCUACGGAAUAGCCUCGGGAAACUGGGAGUAAUACCGUAUACGCCCUUAGGGGGAAAGAUUUAUCGGAGAAGGAUUAGCCCGCGUUGGAUUAGGUAGUUGGUGGGGUAAUGGCCUACCAAGCCUACGAUCCAUAGCUGGUUUGAGAGGAUGAUCAGCCACACUGGGACUGAGACACGGCCCAGACUCCUACGGGAGGCAGCAGUGGGGAAUCUUAGACAAUGGGGGCAACCCUGAUC